GAUGAACGCUAGCGGGAGGCUUAACACAUGCAAGUCGAGGGGCAGCAUAGGGUAGCAAUACUCUGAUGGCGACCGGCAAACGGGUGAGUAACGCGUAUGCAACCUACCCUGUACAGGGGGAUAACCCGGAGAAAUUCGGACUAAUAUCCCGUAAUAAUAUCCGGAGGCAUCUUUGGAUAUUUAAAGUUCCGACGGUACGGGAUGGGCAUGCGUAACAUUAGCUGGUUGGUAAGGUAACGGCUUACCAAGGCUAUGAUGUUUAGGGGUCCUGAGAGGGUGGUCCCCCACACUGGUACUGAGACACGGACCAGACUCCUACGGGAGGCAGCAGUGAGGAAUAUUGGUCAAUGGGCGCAAGCCUGAACCAGCCAUCCCGCGUGCAGGAAGACGGCCCUAUGGGUUGUAAACUGCUUUUCCAGGGAGAGAAACUUACGCACGUGUUGCGUGACUGACGGUACCCUGGGAAUAAGCAUCGGCUAACUCCGUGCCAGCAGCCGCGGUAAACGUAGCGUG
rnacentral:rRNA from 1 species